UCGAACGCAAAAAAUUAUGGGCCCAGUUUUUGAGAUCUAAAUGAAGUUCGAAAAUCGCCGUUAGGGGCGCUUGUGAUGAUUGGGAUACUAGAAAUACACAGCUUCUUAUGGCAAGAAUAACUAUUUUGUUAUAAAUUAUAGAGCCAAGUUAAUAUUUGGGCAUAUUUUUACCAGAGUUAGCUUUUAGAAACGUGGUUUUUCUAAUUGAGCAAUGUGCGUGGCUAAAAUUGUGAAUACAAAACCUUAAAUUUGAGUUUGAAAAUGCAUACACGACCGAAGAAACAUAUAAGCUGCUAAAAUAAAUCUUCCCUAGAACUGUUGUACAAAAAAGAUAGAAGUUCCAGCAACAAAUUUAUCACCAGUUCAACCUUUGAUUUGAUGUAAACAGUAAUUGUUUCUUGAUGAGAAAUGCGAAUGAAAUAGUUUAUGGUGUGAUUGUGUUAGUGUUUUAUUAAUAGUUUUGUUGAUGCAGUUUAAAGGUUCAUAGUUUUUCAUUAAAACAUUUGAAAUUGACAUGUUUACAUGCAGUUUAGUGUGAUACCAUUUUAAUAAACAUUAAAAUCUUUUCGAACUAGUAGUGGUUUUAUGGCGAUUGACAGAUUGAAUAACGAAAAU